rnacentral:rRNA from 1 species
AUGGUAGGAGAGCGUUCUAAGGGCGUCGAAGCAUGAUCGCAAGGACAUGUGGAGCGCUUAGAAGUGAGAAUGCCGGUGUGAGUAGCGAAAGACGGGUGAGAAUCCCGUCCACCGAUUGACUCAGGUUUCCAGAGGAAGGCUCGUCCGCUCUGGGUUAGUCGGGUCCUAAGCUGAGGCCGACAGGCGUAGGCGAUGGAUAACAGGUUGAUAUUCCUGUACCACCUAGUAUCGUUUUAAU